UACGAAGGGGGCUAGCGGUGUUCGGCUUUACGGGGCGUAAAGCGCACGUAGGCGGACUCUUAAGUCAGGGGUGAAAUCCCGGGGCUCAACCUCGGAACUGCCUUUGAUACUGUGAGUCUCGAGACCGGAAGAGGUGAGUGGAAUUCCUAGUGUAGAGGUGAAAUUCGUAGAUAUUAGGAAGAACACCAGUGGCGAAGGCGGCUCACUGGUCCGGUUCUGACGCUGAGGUGCGAAAGCGUGGGGAGCAAACAGG
rnacentral:rRNA from 1 species